rnacentral:tRNA from 1 species
GCGCCAGUGUGAAAUAGCGUGAGGCAUUCCAGUCAGGUGAGCAGAAGAUGCGGGUUCGAGUCCCGCCUGGCGCU